rnacentral:rRNA from 1 species
GUAAAUUGUUGCGGUUGAAAAGCUCGUAGUUGGACUUCUGGCGGCUGCGGUCGGUCCGCCUCCGCGCGAGCACUGGCCGCGGCCGUCGUUUCUGUCGACGGUGCGCGUCGGGCUUCACUGGUCGGUGCGUUCUCUGUCGGCGACGUUACUUUGAGGAAAUCAGAGUGCUUAAAGCAAGCGUUCGCUCGUGACUUCACUAGCAUGGAAUAACACAGAUGGGCUCUUUCUCGCAAUGUUGGUCUGCGUCAAUUGAGCAACGAUCGAUAGAGACGGUCGGGGGCAUUCGUAUUGCGCAGUUAGAGGUGAAAUUCUCCGAUCUGCGCAAGACGCACUAAUGCGAAAGCAGUUGCCAAGGACGUCCUCUUAUGAUCAAGAGCGAAAGUCGGGGGAUCAAAGAUGAUUAGAUACCGUCGUAGUCCCGACCAUAAAUGAUGCCGACUGAGCGUCGGCGACUCGGCUUUUGGCCGAACGUCGGCGCUCUUGAGAGAAAUUAAAGUCUUUGGGCUCCGGGGGUAGUAUGGUCGCAAGGC